UGGCGUAUGUUAAAGUUGUCGCGGCCAAAAAGCUCGUAGUCGGAUUUCUGUCGAGGAACUCUGGUCCGCUCUAUGAGCGCGCAUCUGGUCGCGCCUCGGCAUCCGCUCUGCAUACGUGUCUGCGCUCGAUUGCGUGGCGCGGAGGUAGGGCCUUUUACUUUGAGGAAAUUAGAGUGUCCACGGCAGGCUUUCGCCUCGAAUAUAUUGGCAUGGAAUAAUAACAUAGGAUCUUGGUUCUAUUUUGUUGGUUUCUAGGGCUGAGAUAAUGAUCAAUAGGGACAAUCGGGGGCAUUCGUAUUGCGGUGUC
rnacentral:rRNA from 1 species